UAUCACUUCAACUAUGACAGAGAGCCACUUGCUUCACUUUUUUAAUUAUUUUUACCACGUUGGUGGAAAUUCGUAUUGGAAGGUGUUGAUGAUUACAGCAGAACACUUGCAAGAUAUUAUUUGGUAUUGAAACAGAUGUAUAUCCAUCUUCGCGUCUUAAAGUUCUUAUAUAAUAGAAUCAUGCAUUUAAAGGAAUAUCAGUUACUAACUGUGUAAAUACUAGAAAACCUCCAGCAUUUUAUACAAUAACUAUCCGGUGUUGGAAAAUAAAAUUUAAUUAUUCGCCUGACUAACAUGCUUUAAGAGCGAUUAUAAUAUGACUUUUUUUGACUGAAAUUUUCUGGUGGUAAACAAAAAUGUAAGGAUUUAUGAAUUUGAAUUUUUUACUCAUUUUAAAUCUAAAGACGUUAUUUCGGAGCAUUUUAAAUAAUAUUGGCCAUCGUUCUAUCAUAAUAUUUGAACAUUCGUGUACAGGUGUCCGAGGGCUUAAUCACAAAUUCUUAAUUUAUAUCAUUUACACAAUGACCGGCAUAUUUUGAUUUAUUCAUAAGGCAGGAAUACAGAUAUAACUAUACUUUU